UACGGAGGAUCCAAGCGUUAUCCGGAUUUAUUGGGUUUAAAGGGUGCGUAGGCGGAUUGAUAAGUUAGAGGUGAGAUGUCCGAGCUUAACUCGGGAACUGCCUCUAAUACUGUUGAUCUAGAGAGUAGAUGCGGUAGGCGGAAUGUAUGGUGUAGCGGUGAAAUGCUUAGAGAUCAUACAGAACACCGAUUGCGAAGGCAGCUUACCAAUCUAUAUCUGACGUUGAGGCACGAAAGCGUGGGGAGCAAACAGG
rnacentral:rRNA from 1 species